rnacentral:miRNA from 12 species
ACAUCCAAACUAGACGCACUCUC